rnacentral:rRNA from 2 species
AGUCAAUCUACCUUAUGGACGGGGAUAACCUCGGGAAACUGAGAAUAAUACCCGAUAGAUCAUAAUUCCUGGAAUGGUUUAUGGUCCAAAUGAUUUAUCGCCAUAGGAUGGGACUGCGGCCUAUCAGCUUGUUGGUGGGGUAAUGGCCCACCAAGGCUAUAACAGGUACGGGCUCUGAGAGGAGAAGCCCGGAGAUGGGUACUGAGACACGGACCCAGGCCCUAUGGGGCGCAGCAGGCGAGAAACCUUAGCAAUGUGCGAAAGCACGACUAGGUUAAUCCGAGUGAUUUCUGCUGAAGAAAUCUUUUGUCAGUUCUAAAUCUACUGGUGAAUAAGGGGUGGGCAAGUCUGGUGUCAGCCGCCGCGGUAAUACCAGCACCUCGAGUGGUUAGGAGGUUUAUUGGGCCUAAAGCAUCCGUAGCCGGCUAUGCAAGUCUCCGGUUAAAUCCAUCUGCUUAACAGAUGGGCUGCCGGAGAUACUACAUAGCUAGGGAGCGGGAGAGGCAGACGGUAUUCGGUGGGUAGGGGUAAAAUCCUCUGAUCCAUUGAGGACCACCAGUGGCGAAGGCGGUCUGCCAGAACGCGUUCGACGGUGAGGGAUGAAAGCUGGGGGAGCAAACCGGAUUAGAUACCCGGGUAGUCCCAGCUGUAAACGAUGCAAACUCGGUGAUGCAUUGGCUUAUAGCCAGUGCAGUGCCGCAGGGAAGCCGUUAAGUUUGCCGCCUGGGAAGUACGGUCGCAAGACUGAAACUUAA